CCGGUUGGGAUACUACAUGAUGACUGGCAAAGGCGCUGGGCGGGAUUUCGGCCGUUCCGCGGAACGCCGGGAAAGGGUCACUUCCAGAUAGAGGUUCCGGUUCCGGGGUCAGCGGCCGUCGAGUUGCCGCGGCAACGCUAUUGCCAGGCCCCGUGUCCCAGGAGCUAGCGGGCUUAGGGCAGGCCCGCGUCCGCCCCUCUCGGCUUAGACACUCGACUUUAUUCACUGCUGUAUCCUCAGUGCCUAGAACAGUGCUUGGAACGUGAUUCAUAGAUUCCAGGUGAAUCAGAGGAAGAAGCAUCAUGAACAGAAAUAUAAACAAAAUGCUAUUAUUCUGAAGCAUAACUGCUGUUUUGAAAGUCCAGCAUCUGGUACCCUUAAACCAUAGAGAAUAUAUUAAAUUCCUGCCAACAUCACAUAAAUUUUACUAAUGCUUA